UUCUGUGUUUUAGCCAUGUAAAAAGGAUGGAUUGGGAAAAUAUGUCCAUCUUAAUGCCAUGUUUAUUUGUAAUGUUUUCUUAAAACCAAAUAGACUGUUUCACACCUACAGGAGUUUUCAUAGGCCAGCCAAGGGAACUAAUACCUUUUGCUCCAUUUUCCUUGCUAAUGAUGCCUUUGUUUUCACAGAUGAGCUUCACUGUUGUUGAGUUCACAGACAAUGCUAUUGAGGUUGUGCCAUCUUCAUGGCUUGGACACACUUCUGAGCAUGGCAUGGUCUGCUACUGGACGACACACAAUGUGCGAUUGCAUGUUGUGAAGUGCCGAGCACCAAAUACAACUUGGGCCAAACAUCCCGUUAAGAAAACCUGGUAUGAAACAGAUUCAUACGCCAAAGCUGAACAGAAGUGUUUGCAAUUGAUGGAGUCCUCAAGUGUUGAGACAGAGGAUGAUGUGAACACUUUUGCAAUAA